GUUCCAGGGGGUUCCUUUGAAAACUUCCUGCGGUGUCCAGGAGCGAGCAGCCUGCUGCACACAGGACGCAAUGCCUGCUGAAAUCCCAGAUGAAAAUUCAUAAUCCACUUAGGAAAAAGGAGGGGGGAUGCACGGAGUUAGCACAUAUUAAGUGCCUGCUGUAGUCAAGCCCUGUUGGACACCAGGGACAUCUGGACCUUGACAACGGAGCGAAGGGGUGGUCCUGCCUGCACCAGGUUUCAGGGUCCAGCCACUUUGUCACAAGCUACAUCUAUGGCGAGCAACGACUCCCGGCUGCAGGGUGAGACAGAUAAGAGGAUAAGAGGGAGCAGGAGCAGACGGAGAAAGAAGGUGGCAAGACAGAGCAGCUUGGAUCCUAAAAACACUUCCCUCUUCCCUCCCACCUCCCUCUCCUCUGCCCACAACAUGAAGGCUCCCACAGAGAUGUCAUGUGAAGGCUUCUCAGGCUGAGCCAAGGGAAGAGCCAGUGGCCAGCUCUGCCCUGUGACACACACAGCCUCCAGGAGUCACAUGGUCUCCAGCUACCACCACCUGCCCUCUGUCCCCGGCCUGCUGCCCUCUCCCUGGCAGGCUUCCUGAGCUGAUGCUUCCCUCCAGACUGCAGCGUAGCAGACAGUGAGACUGACGGACAGAGGGUACAGGGCCAACAGGCUUGGACAGUUCUGUUCCCAGCUGACCUUGGGGUGGGAAUCCAACCGGGAAGCUCCUGGACACUACAUGGUGUGCCCUGCAGGAGAUGAGGUGC
rnacentral:lncRNA from 1 species